GGGCCACUCUGCAUGUAGAGUGUUAUUUUUCAACUUACCUGUUUAUAAUCUCAUGUGUGAGUUUUAAGUCGGAUGCGGAAAUUGGGCCGCUCCGCAUGUAGAGUAUCAUUUUUCAAUUUACCUGUUUAUAAUCUCAUGUGUGAGUUUUAAGUCGGAUGUGGAAAUUUGGCCACUACACAUGUAGAGUGUUAUUUUUUCAAUUAACCUGUUUAUAAUCUCAUGUGUGAGUUUUAAGUCGGAUGUGGAAAUUCAGUUGUUCAGCAUGUAGAGUGUUAUUUUGUCAAUUAACCUGUUUAUAAUCUCAUGUAUGAUUUUAAGUCGGAUGCGGAAAUUUGGCCGCUCAGCAUGUAGAGUGUUAUUUUUUCAAUUUACCUGUUUAUAAUCUCAUGUGUGAGUUUUAAGUCGGAUGUGGAAAUUUGGCCACUACACAUGUAGAGUGUUAUUUUUUCAAUUAACCUGUUUAUAAUCUCAUGUGUGAGUUUUAAGUCGGAUGCGGAAAUUUGGCCGCUCAGCAUGUAGAGUGUUAUUUUUUCAAUUUACCUGUUUAUAAUCUCAUUAGAGUUUUUAAGUCGGAUGUGGAAAUUUGGCCACUACACAUGUAGAGAGUUUUUUUUUCAAAAUACCUGUUUAUAAUCUCAUGUGUGAGUUUUAAGUCGGAUGUGGAAAUUUGGCCACUACACAUGUAGAGUGUUAUUUUUCAAUUAACCUGUUUAUAA